UACGGAGGGUGCAAACGUUGCUCGGAAUCAUUGGGCGUAAAGCGCACGUAGGCGGCCUGUUAAGUCGGGUGUGAAAUCCCUGGGCUCAACCCAGGAAGUGCACUCGAAACUGGCAGGCUUGAGUACUGAAGAGGGUCGCGGAAUUCCCGGUGUAGAGGUGAAAUUCGUAGAUAUCGGGAGGAACACCGGUGGCGAAGGCGGCGACCUGGGUCGAUACUGACGCUGAGGUGCGAAAGCGUGGGGAGCAAACAGG
rnacentral:rRNA from 1 species